rnacentral:rRNA from 1 species
UACGGAGGGGGCGAGCGUUAUUCGGAAUUAUUGGGCGUAAAGGGCGCGUAGGCGGCUGUACAAGUCAAAGGUGAAAUCCCUCGGCUCAACUGAGGAACUGCCUUUGAAACUGUACGGCUUGAGGCCGGGAGGGGGUAGCGGAAUUCCCAGUGUAGCGGUGAAAUGCGUAGAUAUCAGGAGGAACACCGGUGGCGAAGGCGGUUCUCUGGGCAUUACCUGACGCUGAGGAGCGAAAGUGUGGGGAGCGAACAGG